AUUGAACGCUGGCGGCAUGCUUUACACAUGCAAGUCGAACGGCAACCUGAUGGUGAGUGGCGAACGGGUGAGUAAAGCAUCGGAACGUGCCCCGUCGUGGGGGAUAACCAGUCGAAAGACUGGCUAAUACCGCAUACGACCCGAGGGUGAAAGCGGGGGACCGCAAGGCCUCGCGCGAUGGGAGCGGCCGAUGUCUGAUUAGCUAGUUGGCGGGGUAAAGGCCCACCAAGGCGACGAUCAGUAGCUGGUCUGAGAGGACGACCAGCCACACUGGGACUGAGACACGGCCCAGACUCCUACGGGAGGCAGCAGUGGGGAAUUUUGGACAAUGGGCGCAAGCCUGAUCCAGCCAUGCCGCGUGCGGGAAGAAGGCCUUCGGGUUGUAAACCGCUUUUGGCAGGAACGAAACGGCGACUCCUAAUACGGGUGGCUAAUGACGGUACCUGCAGAAUAAGCACCGGCUAACUACGUGCCAGCCGCCGCCGUAACAC
rnacentral:rRNA from 1 species